UUCGGCGGCCGAACUUGACUUUCGGCGGCCGAACCUGGACUUCCCUCACUCAUGCUUUCGGGGGCCUAACGUGCCUCCAAAACGCAUGCAUGUUCGGCGACCGAACUUGACUUUCGGCAGCCGAACCUGGGUUUUCCUCCAAAGACUUUUCAUGCAAAAACUCAUUAAAUUUUCAUACUUAAAACCAUGAAAUACCUUAAAACAUUUUAUGAAAACAUGUUUCUACCCUACUAGAGGCUUCCGACAUCCGAGAUUCCACCGGACGGUAGGAAUUCCGAUACCGGAGUCUAGCCGGGUAUUACAUUCUCCCCCCCUUAAGAACAUUCGUCCCCGAAUGUACCUCAACUAGCACACAUAGCAUGGCAUAAAACAUAACAUACAUACAUAGCACAUAAACAC
rnacentral:lncRNA from 1 species